rnacentral:rRNA from 1 species
CCAAUAGCGUAUAUUAAAGUUGUUGCAGUUAAAAAGCUCGUAGUUGAAUUUCGGGAUCAAUAUGUCGGUCGUGCUUAGGUACGUACUGGCAUCAUUGGUUUCUCCUUUCUGAUGAACCAUGAUGCCAUUAAUUUGGUGUUAUGGGGAAUCAGGACUGUUACCUUGAAAAAAUUAGAGUGUUUAAAGCAGGCUCACGCUUGAAUACAUUAGCAUGGAAUAAUGAAAUAGGACGUUUGAUUCUAUUUUGUUGGUUUCUAGGAUCGACGUAAUGAUUAAUAGGGAUAGUUGGGGGCAUUAGUAUUCAAUUGUCAGAGGUGAAAUUCUUGGAUUUAUUGAAGACUAACUACUGCGAAAGCAUUUGCCAAGGAUGUUUUCAUUAAUCAAGAACGAAAGUUAGGGGAUCGAAGACGAUCAGAUACCGUCGUAGUCUUAACCAUAAACUAUGCCGACUAGGGAUCGGAUGAUGUUAAUUUUUUAAUGACUCAUUCGGCGCCUCACG